rnacentral:tRNA from 1 species
GGGAAUGUAGCUCAGUGGUUAAGUGCAUGCUUAGCAUGUAUGAUGCUCUGGGUUCAAUCCCUAGCACCA